rnacentral:rRNA from 1 species
AAAAACCCGUUCGCCGAAAGACCAAGGGUUCCAGUCCAACGUUAAUCGGGGCUGGGUGAGUCGACCCCUAAGGCGAGGCCGAAAGGCGUAGUCGAUGGGAAAAUGGUUAAUAUUCCAUUACUUCUGUGUAAUGCGAUGAGAGGACGGAGAAGGCUAAAUCAGCCUGGCGUUGGUUGUCCAGGUGAAAGGAUGUAGGCAUGUAUCUUAGGCAAAUCCGGGGUACUCUAUGCUGAGAUCUGAUAGCAAGCUGUACUUGUACAGCGAAGUGGUUGAUGCCAUGCUUCCAGGAAAAGUCUCUAAGCUUCAGUUACACAGGAAUCGUACCCGAAACCGACACAGGUGGUCAGGUCGAGUAGACCAAGGCGCUUGAGAGAACUCUGCUGAAGGAACUAGGCAAAAUGGUACCGUAACUUCGGGAGAAGGUACGCUGUUGUUGGUGAUGGAACUCGCUUCCUGAGCUGACGACAGCCGCAGAAACCAGGCCGCUGCAACUGUUUAUUAAAAACAUAGCACUCUGCAAACACGAAAGUGGACGUAUAGGGUGUGAUGCCUGCCCGGUGCUGGAAGGUUAAUUGAUGGGGUUAGCGUAAGCGAAGCUCUUGAUCGAAGCCCCAGUAAACGGCGGCCGUAACUAUAACGGUCCUAAGGUAGCGAAAUUCCUUGUCGGGUAAGUUCCGACCUGCACGAAUGGCAUAAUGAUGGCGGCGCUGUCUCCAGCAGAGGCUCAGUGAAAUCGAAAUCGCUGUGAAGAUGCAGUGUACCCGCGGCUAGACGGAAAGACCCCGUGAACCUUUACUGCAGCUUGACACUGAACUUUGACCUUACUUGUGUAGGAUAGGUGGGAGGCUUUGAAGCUGGAACGCUAGUUCCAGUGGAGCCGUCCUUGAAAUACCACCCUGGUAAUGUUGAGGUUCUAACUCUGUCCCGUGAUCCGGGACGAGGACCGUGUCUGGUGGGUAGUUUGACUGGGGCGGUCUCCUCCUAAAGAGUAACGGAGGAGUACGAAGGUGCGCUCAGCGUGGUCGGAAAUCACGCGUAGAGUAUAAAGGCAAAAGCGCGCUUAACUGCGAGACCCACAAGUCGAGCAGGUACGAAAGUAGGUCUUAGUGAUCCGGUGGUUCUGUAUGGAAGGGCCAUCGCUCAACGGAUAAAAGGUACUCUGGGGAUAACAGGCUGAUACCGCCCAAGAGUUCAUAUCGACGGCGGUGUUUGGCACCUCGAUGUCGGCUCAUCUCAUCCUGGGGCUGAAGCAGGUCCCAAGGGUAUGGCUGUUCGCCAUUUAAAGAGGUACGCGAGCUGGGUUUAGAACGUCGUGAGACAGUUCGGUCCCUAUCUACCGUGGGCGCUGGAAAUUUGAGAGGAUCUGCUCCUAGUACGAGAGGACCAGAGUGGACGAACCUCUGGUGUACCGGUUGUGACGCCAGUCGCAUCGCCGGGUAGCUAUGUUCGGAAGGGAUAACCGCUGAAAGCAUCUAAGCGGGAAGCCUACCUCAAGAUAAGAUUUCCCUAGGACUUUAUGUCCUCUAAAGAGCCGUUCGAGACUAGGACGUUGAUAGGUUGGAUGUGGAAGCAUAGUGAUAUGUGAAGCUGACCAAUACUAAUUGCUCGUGAGGCUUGACU